rnacentral:rRNA from 1 species
ACUCAAAUGAAUUGACGGGGACCCGCACAAGCGGUGGAGCGUGUUGUUUAAUUCGAGGAUAAGCGAAGAACCUUACCAGGGUUUGACAUCCCGGGAAAGUCUCCGAAAGGAGACCGUGCCUUCGGGAACCCGGUGACAGGUGUUGCAUGGCCGUCGUCAGCUCGUGUCGUGAGAUGUUUGGUUAAGUCCAUCAACGAGCGCAACCCUUAUAGUUAGUUGAAUUUCUCUAGCUAGACUGCCCCGGUAACGGGGAGGAAGGAGGGGAUGAUGUCAGGUCCGUAUUACCCUUACACCCUGGGCUACAAACACGCUACAAUGGCCGGUACAAAGGGCAGCCAACCCGCAAGGGGGAGCAAAUCCCAUCAAAGCCGGUCUCAGUUCGGAUUGUCGGCUGAAACUCGUCGGCAUGAAGCUGGAAUCGCUAGUAACGGUAGGGCAGCUUUACUACCGUGAAUACGUUCCCGGGUCUUGUACACACCGCCCGU